UACGUAGGGUGCGAGCGUUAAUCGGAAUUACUGGGCGUAAAGCGUGCGCAGGCGGUUGUGCAAGACAGAUGUGAAAUCCCCGGGCUUAACCUGGGAAUUGCAUUUGUGACUGCACGGCUAGAGUGUGUCAGAGGGGGUAGAAUUCCACGUGUAGCAGUGAAAUGCGUAGAUAUGUGGAGGAAUACCGAUGGCGAAGGCAGCCCCCUGGGAUAACACUGACGCUCAUGCACGGAAGCGUGGGGAGCAAACAGG
rnacentral:rRNA from 1 species